UGGCAGGAAGUGACGUUUGUUCUCCUGUCGCAGCGUCGUUUCUGUCGUUGAUCAACCGUGACAUUUUCGAGCAGUUCCACUGAAGAAGAAAACCAUAAUGGAUUGGUUGUGACGUCCACAGCAACGUUAAACCUAUGGUCCUAUCUACGCUGGGUAUGAGGAAGAGGAUGAUGCAGCUGGACAGUGCAGAAGGCACAAAGUUGGCUUUAAUAGUUGCCGAUACGUGCUGUCUUUGUAGUAAACCACUCUGAAGACAAACAGAAGAAACAGGCAGAGAAGCAGAGAACUCACCAGAAAGGCCAACCUGCUGCCCCAGCACCGUGGCGUACAGAUGGGUGAGGUUACGAGAGUAUCCU